UGGGUAACCUGCCCAAGAGAUCGGGAUAACACCUGGAAACAGAUGCUAAUACCGGAUAACAACAGAUGAUGCCUAUCAACUGUUUAAAAGAUGGUUCUGCUAUCACUCUUGGAUGGACCUGCGGUGCAUUAGCUAGUUGGUAGGGUAACGGCCUACCAAGGCGAUGAUGCAUAGCCGAGUUUAGAGACUGAUCGGCCACAUUGGAACUGAGACACGGCCCAAACUCCUACGGGAGGCAGCAGGC
rnacentral:rRNA from 1 species